CUCAGACCAUGAGAAACAAGACUCUAUGGUCUGAUAAAACCAAGAUUGAAUUCUUUGGCUUGAAUGCCAGCGUCACGUCUGGAGUAAACCUAGCACCAUCCCCAUGGUGAUACAUGGUGGUGGUGGCUGUAACGGAUUUCCUCCUCUUCGUCUGAGGAGGAGUAAGGAUCGGACCAAAACGCAGCGUGGUGGUGGGAACGGACCAUCUCCAAAAUGGUCGGGAAUGUUGAUUUAUGCUGACUGGCCUUGACUUCGUGCUGAUAACGCGGAGGCUUGAGAAUUAGAGGGGCCCUCUGUUUGUGGAACGGAACGUUUGGAAAACGCUGACGUCAUUUUCAGUUUAUAACCUGUGGUAAUGUGUGUAAGCAUUUAGUACUCUCUGGAAUUAAACGCUCUUUAACCUGG